UGGAAUUCAAGAUCAAGAAGUGAUCUGCUUGCUUCAACCCGAACUUUCCAGAGUGUCUUCGAAGUUCGGAAUGGAUUAAUGAGCUCAAUGACACGAUCAAGAGGAACAAACUCUGACAGCUUUAGAGCAAUUUGGGUCAAAGACCGGAUGCAGCUAAUUGUCAAAAUACCAUUGUAACUUGGCAUCAACCUGUCAAAUUGCAAGAGCCGAUCAACUCGCUUGAGAAGGGAUGAUAAAUACACAAUGCUCUGUUGUCCAAAUUCAAGCUCACCAAUGGACUGAACUAACGCAGCAAGCCAAAACACAUCAGAGUAGGGGUUCCCACUGUUGUCAUUGUACUUCAGAAGUUGUAGUACAAAUUCAACAGCUUCCCUAGGGCUUUUCUGGUCAGCUGCUCGAACCAUAGCUAUAGCAUGUGGAAUAGCCUCA
rnacentral:misc_RNA from 1 species